GGUGUGGCGAACGCAAUAGAACAACAAAA
rnacentral:piRNA from 1 species